rnacentral:rRNA from 1 species
UACGAAGGGUGCGAGCGUUGUUCGGAAUUACUGGGCGUAAAGGGUUCGUAGGCUGGAAUGCAAGUCAAGUGUGAAAUCCCCGGGCUUAACCUGGGACGUGCAUUUGAGACUGUGUUUCUUGAGUUUCGGAGAGGGUGGUGGAAUUGCUGGUGUAGGAGUGACAUCCGUAGAGAUCAGCAGGAACACCGGAGGCGAAGGCGACCACCUGGCCGGAUACUGACGCUGAGGAACGAAAGCGUGGGGAGCAAACAGG